UAGGGAAUCUUCCGCAAUGGACGCGAAGUCUGACGGAGCAACGCCGCGUGAGUGAAGAAGGUUUUCGGAUCGUAAAGCUCUGUUGCCAGGGAAGAAAGGCUAAGGGAGGAAAUGCCCUUAGAUUGACGGUACCUGAGAAGAAAGCCCCGGCUAACUACGUGCCAGCAGCCGCGGUAAUACGUAGGGGGCAAGCGUUGUCCGGAAUUAUUGGGCGUAAAGCGCGCGCAGGCGGUCGAGAUAGUCUGGGGGUUAAUCCUGGGGCUCAACCCCGGGUCACCCUGGAAACUGUUCGACUGGAGGACAGAAGAGGAGAGUGGAAUUCCACGUGUAGCGGUGAAAUGCGUAGAGAUGUGGAGGAACACCAGUGGCGAAGGCGACUCUCUGGACUGUGACUGACGCUGAGGCGCGAAAGCGUGGGGAGCAAACA
rnacentral:rRNA from 1 species